GCCAAAGUAAAUAUGAAUACUGAAAAAGAAUUUUCAUGAGAUUCAUAAAUGAACUCGAGUUGAGCCAAUUUUGCAUAUGACUAACGAUGGGGUCUGACGAGUUCUCCAUGACCUCCAUCAAGUCAGGCCUCACGAUAGAAAAAUUGAAUCAUAUGAUAACUGUACCUAGGAGUUCAUAUUUUUAUUUUAUACUGAGUUGC
rnacentral:lncRNA from 1 species